AUUGAACGCUGGCGGCAGGCCUAACACAUGCAAGUCGAGCGGAUGAGUGGAGCUUGCUCCAUGAUUCAGCGGCGGACGGGUGAGUAAUGCCUAGGAAUCAGCCUGGUAGUGGGGGACAACGUUUCGAAAGGAACGCUAAUACCGCAUACGUCCUACGGGAGAAAGUGGGGGAUCUUCGGACCUCACGCUAUCAGAUGAGCCUAGGUCGGAUUAGCUAGUUGGUGAGGUAAAGGCUCACCAAGGCGACGAUCCGUAACUGGUCUGAGAGGAUGAUCAGUCACACUGGAACUGAGACACGGUCCAGACUCCUACGGGAGGCAGCAGUGGGGAAUAUUGGACAAUGGGCGAAAGCCUGAUCCAGCCAUGCCGCGUGUGUGAAGAAGGUCUUCGGAUUGUAAAGCACUUUAAGUUGGGAGGAAGGGCAGUAAGUUAAUACCUUGCUGUUUUGACGUUACCAACAGAAUAAGCACCGGCUAACUUCGUG
rnacentral:rRNA from 1 species